ACAAUGAAGAGUUUGAUCCUGGCUCAGGAUGAACGCUAGCGGCAGGCCUAACACAUGCAAGUCGAGGGGCAGCACAGGUAGCAAUACCGGGUGGCGACCGGCGCACGGGUGCGUAACGCGUAUGCAACCUACCUUUGAUCAGGACAUAGCCCGAAGAAAUUCGGAUUAAUAUCCUAUAAUAUUCAGAAGAGGCAUCUUUUUUGAAUUAAAGCUUUUGCGAUCAUAGAUGGGCAUGCGUGACAUUAGUUAGUUGGUGAGGUAACGGCUCACCAAGACUAUGAUGUCUAGGGGUUCUGAGAGGAUUAUCCCCCACACUGGUACUGAGACACGGACCAGACUCCUACGGGAGGCAGCAGUGAGGAAUAUUGGUCAAUGGACGCAAGUCUGAACCAGCCAUGCCGCGUGCAGGAUGACGGCCCUAUGGGUUGUAAACUGCUUUUCUACGGGAAGAACCCCCCGACGUGUCGGGGACUGACGGUACCGUGGGAAUAAGCAUCGGCUAACUCCGUGCCAGCAGCCGCGGUAAUACGGAGGAUGCAAGCGUUAUCCGGAUUUAUUGGGUUUAAAGGGUGCGUAGGCGGACUAAUAAGUCAGUGGUGAAAUCCCCCGGCUCAACCAGGGAACUGCCAUUGAUACUGUUAGUCUAGAGUACAGUUGAAGUAGGCGGAAUGUAGCAUGUAGCGGUGAAAUGCAUAGAUAUGCUACAGAACACCGAUAGCGAAGGCAGCUUGCUAAGCUGUAACUGACGCUAAUGCACGAAAGCGUGGGGAUCAAACAGGAUUAGAUACCCUGGUAGUCCACGCUGUAAACGAUGAUCACUCGUUGUUGGCGAUACACAGUCAGCGACUGAACGAAAGUAUUAAGUGAUCCACCUGGGAAGUACGAUCGCAAGGUUGAAACUCAAAGGAAUUGACGGGGGCCCGCACAAGCGGUGGAGCAUGUGGUUUAAUUCGAUGAUACGCGAGGAACCUUACCUGGGCUUGAAUGUAUUAUGACAGUCCCCGAAAGGGGAUCUUCCUUCGGGACAUUUUACAAGGUGCUGCAUGGUUGUCGUCAGCUCGUGCCGUGAGGUGUCGGGUUAAGUCCCAUAACGAGCGCAACCCCUAUUCUUAGUUGCCAUCAGGUAAUGCUGGG
rnacentral:rRNA from 1 species